GGCCGAGUGGCGAAAUGGCAUCGCGUCAGUUUCCGGUAUCAGAUUACGUAAUAUUGCUUACGUAAUUAAAAAGCUGAAGAUUGUGGGUUCGAGUCCCAUCUUGGUCG
rfam:Schizopora paradoxa strain KTC8140 unplaced genomic scaffold SCHPAscaffold_00001, whole genome shotgun sequence.